AACCAAUGACUUGUUGAGGACCGAUUGAAAGUUGUACACUUCUAAUAAUAUUUAAAUAUAUUCGUCCAGUCUUUUAAUAUUAGAUACGUUAUAAUAAUUCGAUAAUGGCACCCUUAUGUAAAAGAAUAUUUCGUAAAAAAACCAAAAAAUAAACGACCAAAAUCGAGCAAAAUUCUCUAUGAGUUUUAUAAACAUGUUCUCCCAAAGAGUUUUUGAUAAGUCGAAAUAACGGCUUGGAUACGUGUAUGUUUAUAAUAAGGUAUAGAUGGUUUGCAAUAUUUACUUAAAUACAGAAAUGUCAAAGAAAAUAUUUUUUCGAUUACGUUCGAUAUCUACAGUCUAACCCAUACCUACCUAUUUAAAAUACGGUAUGUCGACGAUUGGAAUAAAAAUAAAAACAUUUAUUAAAUUUU